rnacentral:rRNA from 1 species
GAUGAACGCUGGCGGCGUGCCUAACACAUGCAAGUCGAACGGAAACAGAUCUAGUUUACUAGAUGCUGUCGAGUGGCGGACGGCUGAGUAACGCGUGGGAACGUGCCCCAAAGUGAGGGAUAACGCACCGAAAGGUGUGCUAAUACCGCAUAUGGUCUUCGGAUUAAAGAAUUUAUUCGCUUUGGGAGCGGCCUGCGUCGGAUUAGGUUGUUGGUGAGGUAAUGGCUCACCAAGCCGACGAUCCGUAGCUGGUCUGAGAGGAUGACCAGCCAGACUGGAACUGAGACACGGUCCAGACUCCUACGGGAGGCAGCAGUGAGGAAUCUUCCACAAUGGGCGAAAGCCUGAUGGAGCAACGCCGCGUGCAGGAUGAAGGCCUUCGGGUUGUAAACUGCUUUUAUAAGUGAGGAAUAUGACGGUAACUUAUGAAUAAGGAUCGGCUAACUACGUG